AAACAAUCACACCCCUAACUGACCUAGUUAAACUGCUAGAAAAGCCAGGGGUAAUUUCUAAUGCAAAUCAGUGCACCUGCAUACACACUGGCUCUGCUUUCUGGUGUUACGCUGAAGGUGUAGGUCCAAGGCUCUGGCUUGGGGACAAACCUGAUGGCUAUGUUCUGCUGAGGCUGUCUACAGGACACUGCUGGAACUCAUCUAUAGAUACUGCACAUGACAAGUUUGGGGGAGAAUCCUAAGUUUUGUCUGCCAUCUCCAAUCCAACCCAUCUCCUCUCCAGAUUUCCCCAGCAGCCACCCCAUGCAGAGAGCCUGAAGUCAAUGUGAAGCCCCACAGAGCAGGUGGGUUAGGCUCUCCAGGCACAGCUCAGGUGCUCCACCAGGCCCACCUGAAUGUGAUUAUUUACCCACUAGCUUUGCUUAAAUCUCCACCAAGUCUGUUUUAUUUUCAAAAUGUUAUAAUUUGGCCACAACUGGGAAGAUUUUUGCAGAGAUAAGUCUUAACAAGAUGCCUCCUCACAUACAGCAGCAAAAAAAUACUGUUUUUAUCUUGAGAACGGUUUGGACUGAACUUUGUAUCCUGGAAGGCACUGACAAUGACAAGCCAGAAGCAUACUACCAGCAUAGAAAAGGUUAACUCAAAUGGUUAUGGUUCAGUUAGCUUCCUUCCAGCCAAAGCAAGCUGGUAGAGUAAGAUGACCAAUAUGCUUACAAAUUGAGAGUGCUACCAAACCCACCUUGUUUUCAUGGAUAAACCUGUGCAUGCUAAGAUAGGAAUGCUAGACAUAAAGCACUCCCAAAUUUGCCCUGCUCCUGCCUAAGAAGAGUUCAGGAAACCCAGGUACGCUAUCUUCUUAUAGCCUUUUUGGCUUUUAUACAAGCAGUUGCAAUACAAAAUCGGAGCCAUUUCCCUAGGGGGGAUAUUAAGCUUUUUUUUUUCUUUUUCUUUUUUUUUUUUUUCCUUCUCCUCUUUUCUUUUACAAAGAGAGAGAGAGAGAGACAGAAAACAGAUUGACUGCCGGAAUUUAUUUAGGUUGACAUCAGUGGGUCUUUCUCAGAGGGAAGGAUACUUUCUGUGCACUAAAUGUUUACCUCCUUUGCAAUAGCAGCAAAUUAGGUGUUUACCUCUUCAAGCAGCAAAAGGAGCCAAUACACCUGUUCCUUCCAGAUUGUCCCUGCUUCUUUUUUUGGCAGAAGAUACUGUGAAAAUGGCUCUGGUGAUCUACUGUGGAAGUGUUAGGAGGUUCUCUAAAACAGGUUGAAGCAUUUGUUUCUCAGGCUAAAUAUAUAUAGAUAAUAUAAUUC
rnacentral:lncRNA from 1 species